GGUUCCGUGGUGCAGUUGGUUAGCGCAUCGUACUAAUAUUCGGAACACGAGUAAAAUGCGAAAGUCGAGAGUUCGAGCCUCUCCGGGACCA
rnacentral:tRNA from 1 species